rnacentral:piRNA from 1 species
UAGAGUUCAUGUUUACAUGUCGCACAUGUG